rnacentral:rRNA from 1 species
UAAUGCAGCGGAUCCGCAUGGAUAUGUUGUUAAAGGUUUACCGCCUUGGGAUAGGCUUGCGUCUGAUUAGCUAGUUGGUGUGGUAAUGGCACACCAAGGCUACGAUCAGUAACUGGUCUGAGAGGAUGAUCAGUCACACUGGAACUGAGACACGGUCCAGACUCCUACGGGAGGCAGCAGUGAGGAAUAUUGGGCAAUGCACGAAAGUGUGACCCAGCAACGCCGCGUGGAGGAUGAAGGUAUUCUAUAUCGUAAACUCCUGUGAGAGCAGACGAAAGACAGAUUAUUAAUUUGGAUGACUGUAUGCUCAGAGGAAGCCCCGGCUAACUACGUG